CGAUAACUCAUUGCUAGAUUCAUAAAUGUAGGUAUAUAAAAUAUUUUUGAAGUCUUUGGAUUUUCUUCAGCUGAGUCACAGACUGUCCAACCUGUUCCUUUGUCCUGUGAUUGGGGUGGUCUUGGGCAUCUGGGAGAGCAAGAGAAGGAAUUUGGAAGGACCCAGGGAAGGGAAGAAGAGGAGGAGAAGGGGAGAGGAGAGAUCACAGAGGAGAGAGAUUCACAGGGAUAAAUUGAAAAUGGAGAGACGAGAAAAUAUUUCCAUCCUCCCGGACAAGGACUUCUGGCACUUUGAAUGAUGGUUCUGAGGCGAGGAAAAGGUGGAUUAUCUACUUCCUAAAGAAACUCGUUCCAAAAGAAAAGCCCAAACGCAACCCACAAACUGCUUUGUUCUCCUCUCAGCGGCCUUCAUCUACCUCCUCUUCCGGAAAGUGGAUGGACGUGCAUUUUUCUCACCAGCAACUCCUCCUCCAUCGGGCGAGAGGAGCCAUUGUGGUGUGACACAUUUAAACACACACAGGCCUGUGUUUUGAGCAGCGAGUGUUUUUAUAAAACCUGCUUUUAAUUACCCAGAGUGCUUAGAAAUCCCCCCUGCCUGCAUCAUCUUCCUCUCCACCCUCCUCUCCCUACAUCUUCUGAGGUGGACAUUAGUAGGGUCAGGUUGUAACUGGUUGCUGGCUUUUCUGUGAGGGGCGUUGCCGAAGAUGCUGUUGGGAUAACUUUGGCCAGGAUCAGGACUAUGAUUAGCCAGCAAAUAAUUCUAGCUGCCAAGCUUGGAUGUGGUUUUCCUCCCAGAAAGCCACAUUCUAAACUCUUUGGAAGAGGAGGUUUUAUGCCCCUCAGUAAUUAUUUUCCUUCUCGGCAGUAACGUAUCUAGGCAGAAAGCAAAGGAAAUCCCAAGCAGUUUAGACAGACUACGUUCAUAGUUGUGGUUUUAGAGCCUCGAUUCCCAGAAGGCAAAGGAAACAUAGAAAUCAUGGUAACAGGGAAACCAUACACUAUCAGCUUCCUACUGCAAACCUUGUCAAGGUCGGGGGAGACUCGUAGGGACCCAAGAAAUCCUUGAGAGGAUGUAUAAAGAGCAGAUGAAGUCCCGAGUAACUGUGUGCUGUUUGACAUUUGUAAUGCUAUGUCAAGAAUCCCAAUUCCUCCCACCCAAGAGAGUGGCAAAGCCUCUUCUACAGGGGGCGAAGUUCAGAAAGAUGUAAAUGACUGUUAGUUCCCCAGUAGACAACCAGAUCAUGUCAGGUGUAAGUGUGGUUGAGAGCAGAGGCCCCUGGGACUAGGUGCCACUAGCUGCUAGCGAUCCACUCCCCGCCCCCUGCCACCUACAGAGAUAGAUUUGGCCUUUGCUCAUGCUCACGGUGUGGAUGGAAGGCUGAGUUCAACCUGCUCUCACCAUCUAUGCUGAUGGUGCAGUGUGACUAGUGUUGGUCCUGAGCCCAAACACGCCAUCACCAAAGAGAAGCUGGCUUGAUGCGAUCCAUCUGGGAAUGGAGGUUGCCCUUGCCAAGGAAGCAACCACAGGAAGCCUUCUGACCGCCCUACAUGUAGCAGGUGCAGGACGAGACACAGAGAACGUAAUCAAAGUUUGUGAAAACAGACGCAUUCACAUAGCAGCUAGAAACGAGUCAGACUUAAUGUGAAAGCAGGAUGAGGAAGCUGUUCAUCGGAUUUGCAAAGAUGGGAGAAGGGUUUAGACGGGGGAACGAAAAGGGUUCAUUGUGGGCUCACUGGUUUUGUGGUGGCAGAUGGCGAUCCAGGAGGACAUGGAAAUCAGUGAGUUGGGAAUAUGCACCUGAGAAUCCCACAGGGCAAGGGUCAGACAUUUUGAUGUUAAUAGCUUAUGAUAGUAGGGAAAGAGGGGGGGUAGCUGGGAGAGGAAGAAGCAGAAGGCAAGAGCACAGAAGCAAAAUGCACAUCCGAGGGGCACAAAAGAGACAGAUGGAAGGACAAGAGAGGUCGGGACAACCUGAUAGAUCAGCUGGCUAGAAGGAAAUUUCUAGAAGGCAGCAAUAACAAUGGUGAAUUUACAGACCUGAUGGUCGGUAAAGGUCACUGUGAGAUGAUCAACCUUCAGAUAGCUGAUUUUAGUUGUGCUGAGUGAUGUAAACUAGACUGUGGGAAUAAUAAUGGGGAGAUUGAGACUGGAGAGGGACGUCUUGAUGGGUAAAUUGCUUGCCACACACAGGCGAGGAUCUGAGUUUGAUCUCUAGCACUCAAGGCUGGGCAUGGUGACACAUAUCUGUAACCCUAGGACUGGUGGGAAAGAGAUAGGCAGAUUGUGAGGGUUUACUGGCCAGACAGUCUAGCCGAAACAAAAGACCGUAAAUCCAGGGAGAAAACUGUCUAAGAAACUGGAGUGGUAAAGGCACCCAACAUUGACUUCUGUUUCCCAUGCACACAUACGUGUAUAGACACUACACACUACACACACACACACACACACACACACACACACACACACACCCUACACAUAAUAAAAUAGAAGUUGAAACCUACCAGUUAUCUCAUAAACCCAGCAUUCCCAUCCUAAUAAAAUCUCCUCGAAAGUGAA